GACGGAGGGUGCUAGCGUUGUCCGGAAUCACUGGGCGUAAAGGGCGCGCAGGCGGCCCCGCCAGUCGGGCGUGAAAGCCCGGGGCUCAACCCCGGAACGGCGCCCGAGACGGCGGGGCUGGAGACCGGGAGAGGAGGGUGGAAUAGCCAGUGUAGAGGUGAAAUUCGUAGAUAUUGGCUGGAACACCGGUGGCGAAAGCGGCUCUCUGGCCCGGGUCUGACGCUGAGGCGCGAAAGCGUGGGGAGCAAACAGG
rnacentral:rRNA from 1 species